ensembl:rRNA 5S_rRNA 5S ribosomal RNA
UAUAGCCACGCCACCCUGAACAUGCCUGAUCUCAUCUGAUCUCAGAAGCUGGGCAGGGUUGGGCCUGGUUAGUACUUAGAUGGGAGAAAAGAAAUGGAAUCCAUGAAAGGGUCAAAC